GGGGGCCUCAUUCUCUCCCCCACCCCCAGUCUUCCUCUCUCCCCACCAGAACUUCCUCCAGAUCACCCAGCGGGCCUCCCCGUGACCCCCAACACAUAUGCGGGGCUCACCCUGUGCCGGCCUGGGCUGGAAACUUCGUUGCACGUUCUCCACCUGCCCUCGUCCCAAACAGGGAGGCAGGUCACAGGAAAAGUAUUUUUCAGAAGAGAAAACUGAAGGUCGGCAUGGAACAGUGGCUUGACUUGAAACUAUUCAUCUGAGCCGCCAUGCCGCAAAGCCGGCUGCCCAAUCACAGACGCCUCCGGGCGCACGGAGAGGAACAUCCUGUCUCCCGGAAUGACUCAGUCUUCGCAGAAACUCACUGCGACCAGGGGCAGCUGCACGUCAGAGGCAGCUGCGGUCACUAGCUGGAGUGGUGCGCGUGCUCCCCCGGCCAUGAAACCUGGGAGCCUCUCCUGAGCAAGGCCUCUGUCUUCCACGCAAGCCACGGCCCUUAGUGCCUCGGAGCCCAGGGCCCAGCCAGCCACUCAGCGGGUCAGUCAACAAACACACUUGGACGCCAACCACAUGCCAACCUCAGGCAGGGAUGAGGACCCGCCCUCACCGCUGGUGCAAGAAAGAGAAGUCGCUGGGCACCUGGAGACCAGGUUCCAGGUCUGAUGCUGUUGUUUCCCGGUCAAUGGCUGUGCUUAACCUUCC